UACGAAGGGGGCUAGCGUUGCUCGGAAUCACUGGGCGUAAAGCGCACGUAGGCGGGUCUUUAAGUCAGGGGUGAAAUCCUGGAGCUCAACUCCAGAACUGCCUUUGAUACUGAGGAUCUCGAGUCCGGGAGAGGUGAGUGGAACUCCGAGUGUAGAGGUGAAAUUCGUAGAUAUUCGGAAGGACACCAGUGGCGAAGGCGGCUCACUGGCCCGGUACUGACGCUGAGGUGCGAAAGCGUGGGGAGCAAACAGG
rnacentral:rRNA from 1 species